rnacentral:lncRNA from 1 species
GACCACCGAGUCUUACUGAGGUUUCUCUUUUCUCAGGUCUUGCACUGACAGACAUGUAUAAAUAUUAACUGUGUGUGCCUGAACUGACAAGCUGGCAUGAUGAGAUGGCAUGCUGAGACUGCUAUGCUGAGACUGGCAUGAACUGGGAGCGGAAACUUCGAAACCCCACUUUGCUGCAUGCGCGCAAGGCUGUGUUUUGUGCCAUUCCUUCUGUUUCUAUCUUUUUCCUUUGUUUGCCUUUCAAUGUAUCCUUCCCUUUACGUCUUUCAUUUUUGUGUACAAUAAAGCGUUCAACGUA